CAGCCGCAGCACUGAGAAACCCUAGAGAGAUCUUGCAGGAACCACUCACCAUGGUUAGAGAUAUUUUCUUUCUCCUUAUUUUCUGCAAUUUCAUCGAAGCUCUUCUUCCUUUUUUUCAUUUUUCGAUCGAUCUUUUUCUCUGCAGACGUUUAAGCGCAGGAAUGGAGGUCGCAACAAGCACGGUCGUGGCCACGUCAAAUUCAUUCGUUGCUCCAACUGUGGCAAAUGCUGUCCUAAGCACAGCUACAUUCUCAGAUUCUACUGCCACUACAACAGAACCGCAACAUCUCGAAAUUGAUAAUGUAUCUUGUUCAUUUUCUUCUAAUCUAUGGAUUCUGAAAAAGCGUUAGAGCUUGUCAAGCACGGUGUCACUCUUCUCUUCCUCGAUGUUCCUCAGUACACGAUGGUCGCCAUCGAUACUCAUAUGUUCCAUGUGGGGCCUGCUUUUAAGGGUAUUAAGAUGAUUCCUCCUGGCACUCAUUUUGUGUACUAUAGUUCAUCAAGCAGAGAUGGGAAAGAGUUCUCACCAAUUGUUGGAUUCUUCAUUGAUGCUGGCAAUUCAGAGGUAAUUGUUCGGAAAUGGGACCAACAAGAAGAAAGGUUAGUUAAAGCUUCUGAGGAAGAGGAAGAAAGAUACAGUCAAGCUGUUAAAAAUUUGGAAUUUGACGGACAACUCGGGCCUUACAAUCUAAGCCAUUAUGAAGAUUGGAAACGGUUAUCUAAUUUUAUCACAAAAAAUGUCAUUGAACGGCUUGAGCCAAUUGGAGGUGAAAUCACUGUUGAAUCUGAAAAUGAGAUUGUUAGAAACUCUACUAAAAUCCCAAUGGAAGAAGCACCAGAGAAGCAGUUGAAGGUUGGCAAUUCUGCAUCAUCUGUUGGCAAGUCUCAGAGGAAAGGAUGUUAUUAUACUUCAAUUCCACGUGUUGUUAAAUGCAAGGGUAUUAGUGGGCAGGAACUUACUUCUUUAAAUCUUGACAAGACACAAUUGAUAGAAACUUUACUGGCAAAAGAUUAUGGCGGUUCUGAAGACAUGCUUCUUGGAGAACUGCAGUUUACAUUUGUUGUCUUUUUGAUGGGUCAAUCGCUAGAAGCAUUUCUCCAAUGGAAGUCAUUAGUUAGCCUUUUGUUUGGCUGCACUGAAGCACCUUUCCGCACACGAACUCAACUAUUUACAAAGAUCAUCAAAGUCAUCCAUAAUCAACUAAAAUUUGGACUACAGAAAGAUCACAUGGGUGAAACAGGAUCAGCACUGUUGGAUGAUUCUUUGAUUUCCGCUGAUAGCUUUUUGCACCAUGUUUGCAAGACAAGGAAAUUUAAGGAGCUGUUGGAGAGUAGUCUAGGGUGGGAGUUUCAGCUUGGCAGUGCUGUUGAUGGGAUAUAUUUUGAGGAAAAUGAUGAGUAUGCUCCUGUAGUUGAGAUGCUGGAUGAUGAAGCUGUAGUAAGUUAAAAAUGUGGAUAAUGUCUUCACUAUGCUAUAACAGAUAGUAAAUCAUGAAUGCCCUAGCACUUUGCACUGCCCUUUGGCCUACUCACUCUCACAGCCAUACCCUUCUCUUAGAUUGUACAGUAAGGCAUACCAAAGCUCCACCUUUGCAAACUAACUAUAAGAUCAUGUUACUGUAUUUCAAAUUUCAAUUGAGUUAAAAGUCAUGUUGGAUCUGAAGUAGAAAUUCAGUAACUUUUCUAUUUCAGUAACUUUGAUGCAGAUUGAUUUUCCAGAGCUGCUCAUAUUUUGUAUUUUUCUAGCUUUCAUAGAUUAGGACAUGCGUAGGAAACUUGUGGAUUUAUUUUGACUUGUUUGAGGAGUUGCUGAGUGGAGGAGUAUUGGCCUUUGCAAUUGAGACAGCGAGUUCUUUCAUUUUUCCGAAAUAAUGGGGGACUUCCAUCAAUACAACAGGAGAUUGGCUGCUCUGAAGGAACUCGUGCUGGUGCAACUUGACACAGCUAGAGAACGCAUAGAACAGAACGAGGUCCUAUCAGGAGUACAAAACAGUAGAUAUUGCCUAUAAAAAUCUGCUCAAACAUGCAGUUGUUCUGCCACCACCACCUCCCGUUCAGCCCGAGAACAUUCAAGACCCUCCCGUUUAGCCGGAGAAUAUUCAAGAACCGCCACAUUAAG